CUCUCUUUCUGCCCCCUCCCCUUCCCCUUCACAUCAAGACCACACAACCUCUCACCCAUACUCACAGAACCUGUUUACCCAGUCCUGCGUCAUGUCCUCUCCCCUGCCUUCUUUCCCCAUGGGAACACAGGAAAAUUAAGACAGUGUAAGAGUAUUUCUAGUGCCUCUGUAGAUCAGGCUGUAGUCAUGCCAGUCUCAAUGGGAGCUAUACCUUCUCACAGCUCUUUAACCAGAACUAAUUCUACUUUCAUCUCCUUGGAACUCUUAAAACACCCUUUCCUAGGAUGUGGAAGUGUGGGAAGGUAAAGGCAGAAAGAAGAACAUAAGGAUGAAAGCUUGCUGUUUGACGGAUGCCCUAAUCAAAUGGAAGGAUUUGACAGCAUGUUUUCUCAGGGUUAAAAAGAGCCUUCACUCACUGCUUAAAAAUCAGCAAGUAAAGGGCUACAAAAAUGCAUCAUUGUCCAGACUGGUCUACAAGAAGCAAAAGGAUGGCAAUUUUCUUAAGCAUGUAAGGUUGUAUUUUAGCUUGUCACAAUCCUAAAACAAGGUUGGAAAAGAGCAAACACAAUCAUGUUACUAAAGAGAAACCACACUGUUUUGUCAUCCAUAGCCAUACUGCGGUGUGCUGUGGGCAUGCUAUUGAUGAACUAAGAAUCUAUAUUUUAAAAAAUGGUUUGUAACAUUGCUACUUUUUGAUAACAAAGAUAAUGUUUUCUGACUGAUUAUAUAAUUUUUUUAAUGAUGGGAGCAAUAAAAUUGACUUACCUUACAUAAGCCAUUAAUUUUUACUUAAUGUAAACAAACCCCUGAAAUGAAAUAAAAAUUCUCAUGUCCAAA